rnacentral:rRNA from 1 species
UACAGAGGUCUCAAGCGUUGUUCGGAUUCAUUGGGCGUAAAGGGUGCGUAGGCGGCGCGGUAAGUCGGGUGUGAAAUCUCGAAGCUUAACUUCGAAACUGCAUUCGAUACUGCCGUGCUUGAGGACUGGAGAGGAGACUGGAAUUUACGGUGUAGCGGUGAAAUGCGUAGAUAUCGUAAGGAAGACCAGUGGCGAAGGCGGGUCUCUGGACAGUUCCUGACGCUGAGGCACGAAGGUCAGGGGAGCAAACGGG